GAUGAACGCUGGCGGCGUGCCUAAUACAUGCAAGUCGAGCGAACAGACGAGGAGCUUGCUCCUCUGACGUUAGCAGCGGACGGGUGAGUAACACGUGGAUAACCUACCUAUAAGACUGGGAUAACUUCGGGAAACCGGAGCUAAUACCGGAUAAUAUAUUGAACCGCAUGGUUCAAUAGUGAAAGACGGUUUUGCUGUCACUUAUAGAUGGAUCCGCGCCGCAUUAGCUAGUUGGUACGGUAACGGCUUACCAAGGCAACGAUGCGUAGCCGACCUGAGAGGGUGAUCGGCCACACUGGAACUGAGACACGGUCCAGACUCCUACGGGAGGCAGCAGUAGGGAAUCUUCCGCAAUGGACGAAAGCUUGACGGAGCAACGCCGCGUGAGUGAUGAAGGUCUUCGGAUCGUAAAACUCUGUUAUUAGGGAAGAACAAAUGUGUAAGUAACUAUGCACGUCUUGACGGUACCUAAUCAGAAAGCCACGGCUAACUACGUG
rnacentral:rRNA from 1 species